rnacentral:lncRNA from 1 species
CAAAACCCACUAGGAUGUUUCGAUCCCCAGCAGAGUCGCCAUUUUCCUGUAGCGGGGUAUUCGUUACCAUUAGAGAUAUUGACUAUAUCCAAGGUAAAUCAUACAAGUCGAGUCGCCACCGCACUUCUAUUUAUCCAAAGGAAUGGUUAGAAAGCGAACAAAAACCUAAACGUUUUAUCGAAUCAAAAACUAGUAAAAAUGUCAGAGAUAUGGGUAAAGGGGUUGGUUAUGCAAUGGGAAGGUGUUAGGCAC